UUAAAGCGCGCUCCAGCAGAGCCGUGCACAGGCUGCUGCGCGUCCGCGAUUUAUGCGCGCAUCCGAGGCCUCGUGUACACUGCGAUGGUUUGUUUAGUGGAUUAAAAUUCACUGAAGAGCACGCAAGAAAACAAGGCGUGAAGUUUAGCUAUGGUGUUGGUUGGGGGGGAAAGGAUUUUAUGGGUUUUAAAACUGAAAAAUACGUUUUUUUAAUCAAACAUCUGAACCCACCCACUUAAUUAUAGCCUCACUCACCCACGUGUGGCCCAGCCCUCAUUAGCAUUUUUGUUUUUUCAAUUUUAAUAUUAUUUAUCGUGAUUAUUAAUUUUUUUGCUAUUUUUAUUUAAAUUAUUAGUUUUGUUGAGGUGUCAGCUUUACGUUCAUAUUCACAAUAAAGAUCUUCAGUUAAAAGUUAAGCAGCAAAAACAGAUAUAACAGACAACAACAAAGCAAAUAAUGCCAUUAAGGUCUAAUAAUCUGGGCCAUUUUUGACUGAGUGAUGCCAUAAUUACAUUAAGGAGCUAAAAAUUCAAUUUGCAAAAUGCACACUAAUCAUUAUUUAUUUUGCCCUUAUUUCAUUCAUUGCUUUAUUUUCCAUUUUAAUGUUAUUUAGUAGUAUUAUUAAAAUUAUUUUAAUUGUUCAUUUUGUUUAGGUCACAGCUUUAUUUUCAUAUGUACAUUUUUUGCACAGUGCCACAAUAAGUCAUGUUAAAAAUUUAAAUAAAGCAACAGAAACAGAUAAAAUAGACAGCAACAAAGCAAAAAAUACCAUUAAGACCUAAUAAUCUGGGCCCAUUUUGAGUGAGUGAUACCAUAAUUACAUUACAGAGAUAAAAAAAAGUUUGAUUUAAUUUGUAGAAAGAAUGCUUAUCAUUGUUUAUUUUGCCCUUUUUUAUCAUUAGUUAUUUAAUUUUACAUUUUAACACAAUGCAUUAUUAUUAUUAUUAUUAUUAUUAUGAUAACAUUCAUUUUAUUUAGGUCACAGAUUUCUUUUCAUGUGCAUUUUUUUUGCAGUACCACAAUAAAUCAUGUUGAAAUUUGAAAUAAAGCAACAAAUGCAGAUAAACAACAACAAAGCAAAAACUAUCAUUAAGGCCUAUUAAUCUGGGCCACUUUUGAAUGAAAGAUACUAUAAUUACAUUACAGAGCUAAAAAGUUUAAUUUAAUUUGUUAAAAGCACUUGCCUUUUUUCAUAGUUGCUAUUAAUAUUCAAAUUAUUAUAUUAUUUUAUUCAGGUGUCAGCUUAGUUUUCAGAUGCACGUUUUUGCACAGUGCCACAAUAACUCCUGUUAACAAUUAAAUAAAAGCAACAAAAAGAGAUACAAAAAUAUACCAAUGAGGCCUAAUAAUCUGGGUCACUUUUAAGCGAUUCAUGCCAAAAUGUAGCACAUAUUGCAGGGCUAAAAAGUUUUGUUUUUUUUUUGUUAAAUUUGUAAAAAGCAAACGUCAGUUCUGUUUGGAUCUAAUAAUGAAAAAGGCUUAGUGCGACAUCUGCUGGUCAGUGUUUUUAAGUGCAGGUUGUGACGGUUUGUUUAUUUCCAGGACUGCUCUAAACUUACACUUGUCCAAAGCGUAAAUGAGGAGAAACUGACUCAUUCCCCUAUAUUUAGAAACUAUUUAUGACGCUUUAUAACUAAAUCUUAUUGUUUUUCUCUAAUAUUGGUGCAUUUUUAUAAUAAAGCUGCAAAGAGGGAAGCAGGUAAGUAUUAUUUUUAACGUGCCACUUUGAUCAUUACUGACAUCGGCCCAGUAAUUUUACACUUAGAAAACCAAAAAUAGCAAAAGCAACAACUGUUCGCUCGUGUAUUAUAUCACAAGACGUGGAUGAUUCAUCACAUGUUUACGGGACGUCAAAACGAAACUGCAAGUCGUUUGUGUUACUUUUACUUUUGUUUAGUUUUUUAAAAAAAAACAUAAACUUUCUACGCGCACACGAAGCUUGGUUUCAGAAUAAUUUCAAAUAAAAAAUGACUCAAAAUAAGCACCAGUUUAUCUUGUGAAAUCGACAAACGCACUUUGCAGAAAGCUGGAGGAUCUCAGUCCAUAGGUUUGAACGUAUCAGGGCAGGGGAGAUCAGCUGAUCCUGAUUGAGCAUAAAAACCUCUGACGCAUUUCUUCAUGGUCAGUCUCCUUCGCGGAUCAACUUGACGAACUUCACUUCACAAAGCUGAUUUUGGAAGCUCACGGAUGAUGACGAAGUGUCCCAAAUGGAGAAUUUGUUGGCUCUCUAUUCUUCUGCUCCUCGUCUUUCUGCAGAUGUUGACCUGCCUGUUCUUCUCUGGUGUCUUUGUAAGCUCUGAUGAGGUCCUCAUCGGCCCUUUGUUCUUCUGUCAAACUCUCCAACAUGGUGAACAAUCUUGCAUCGGGUGGAGAAGGAUCGAUGUCAGUGGAACUGUAUCUGGCAUGAACGUCCUCCAAACACUGGUGGUUAUCUUUUUUUAUGUUCCAGUGGUGUUUGUUGCCUUCUCCCUGCUGGCCAUACUGUUCACAGCCUAUUCCAAAGACAGAGCAGCCAUCAGGUGCAGCUUGGCCCUCCAGGUGGCAUCGAGCCUCCUCACUCUGGCCGGGAUUGUUCUUUUUGUGGCGUACUAUCAGUCCUAUUUCACUUUGAAGGACAUGACUGUUAUGUUCUAUGGCUGUGUGGGCGUCCAGGUGCAGCUGAUGGUCACAUCUGCACUGACCUACGUGUCAGGGAGGAAGUUUUCUGACCGGGAGCUGAACAUCCCUGCUUGAGCAAAACCACAGGAUCCAGAAUGUAAAUGAGUUUUUACAAAAUGUAUAUAUUGACUUCCAGUGACUAAAAAAACUGCUGGCAUUUUUUCUUUACAUAAGGAUCCCAUUGAGUUUGCAGUAUCAGUAUUGUCAAUGGCAGCAUUUCAGUUGAUGAUCUUUGUUUUGCAACUUCAUGCUUGUAUUAUCUGUUUAUUAGAAUACUGUCAUGCACUUUUUACUGCCCUCUCUCAUAAGAUUGUUGGACAUCUUUAACUCCUUCACAAUGCUGCUGCUAAAGUUCUGAUACCAAGAAAAAAAGCACAGAUUCUUAAAUUCCUGCACUGGAUUCCAGUUGAAUAUAGAAUUGAAUUUAAAGCUAAUUAAUGGUCUAAUCCAAUUAAAAAAAAAUAUUGGAGAUAUGUUUCCAGGGUACAUACCUGAAAGGCCUCCAGGUCUGAUGUUAACCGUUCCAUUUUUAUUCCACUUGUCUGAUGUUUUAUUCAUUUUUUUUUAUGUGUUACAUUUUUUUCAAAUUGGGGAAUUUGAAAUCAUGUAUUUUCAGUUAUCCAGUUAAAUUUCUGUCCACAUU